rnacentral:lncRNA from 1 species
CACACACACACACACACACACACACACACAUCUAUAACACUCCAAGCCAGAGUUGGUAGCCACCCACUACAGUGGACAAUAGGACCCUCCCCGUUCUCUUGCAAGCCUUGGGAAAGGCUUAGAUUUACACCACCAUGGAAUUCUAGUAGCUGUCCAAGAAAGUGCCCAAUAUGGGAGCAACAUAGCUCCCUGGCUCCCGGGGGAACCACAAAAGGCCUCGUUCACUCUUUUCUCUGGAAUCAAAAGAGACAGCAGCCACGGCCUUCACAUAUUUUCACGGGUGCAGCAUUGGCACACACUGCUAGCUGUCUGGCAACAAAUGUCCCUUCAGUUUCAGGGAGGUGACCACCAAUGCCACAUGUCCCUUCUGCUUGUAUUCAUGCAUGGCACACCUGCCUUGCUCAAUGCCUUCACUGGCCCAUUGUACCCUGGCUCGGUCAGAGACCUCUGGAGAGUUUCCUGCAUUUUAAGUUGUUUCCAGCGAUUAUUCUCGGGCAAUAAAAUUCAUCUCUAAAAAUAGGUCGCAUAAAGGCCUCGGCUUCUCUUCUAAUUAGUGUAAGGAUUUAUUGAAUAUACAUCAUACGUAUAGGUCAUAAUAUUAUUAAAAUUACUAUUAAGACUUUACUCAUCAAAAUCUUUCGGGCGGUGUGGAGACAGGGAGCCCGAUGGUCCCCGGGAAAUCGUAUCUGCAUUAGCAAGAUAAAGGACAAUUUAGGACAAUUACAAAAGCGGUGAUUUAGGGUACAACAUAAAACUCUGCUGAGAACUAAUUUGUAAUGCCAGCUGCUGCUAAGCUUCUUAAUCUUUAUCUAGUUCAAUUAAAAUCUGAAUGUUUGGGAUUUCAUUAACAACUGGGGGCUUGGAAAUCACACACGCUUUUACACUGUGCUCUGUUGCCGACUUACAGUGUGGAAGUUGCCCCAAAUGUCCAAAGGUAGAAUUAGGUAUUAUUGAAACCUCGGUCCUUUAAGGAUACGGCAAAGCAGAGACUUGAUUCCUUUGAGUCUCCAGUCAGAUCUGGACAAAGGAAGGAGACCCCACUCUAAGCAGUGCUGGGGAGUGAGACCUGUAGGGCUGGCUAGCUGCUCUGCCAAUGAAGACCUCCUUUUACAGGGAGUCGUUCGUUCAUUCGUUUGUUCGUUCGUUCGUUCGUUCGUUCGUUCGUUCGUUCGUUCUAAGGUCUUUCCUUCUGGGUAACUGGCCCCAUCUGCAUGGGGCCGACCGCCUCAGUGUAGUCUACCACCUGUCACUUCAUUAAACCUGAUCAUGUCUUCACAAGCAGUAUUUAGUGAAGUAAGUUUAUCCAAGCUGCUUUGUAUGUGGCUCCUGAUUGGCCAGGAAAGUCAAAGCCCAAAAGGCUGUGUUCCCUGUGUUUUCCUUGACCUUGGUGGCUGUUUGUUGUCUCAAGCUUUAUUCUUGGGAUGGGGAGGGUACCUCCACCCUCUGAUGGAGACAGAUGGGCCAUAAGACUUUCUUUAUCUUGCUUCUCCACUCAGGUCACCCCUGAGACUCUAGGUCAUGCCUGGAGGUGGAACUGAGGAGCCUGGGUCCCCCAUGAAGCUUGAGUUUCAUGGUCUCAAUGUGGCCCUUCGAUGUGGUAGGCUGAGAGGUGUCCCCAUGAUGCCCAUACCCCCGUGACUGUGUCGUCUUAAGCAGCAGCAGUGACUUCUGCAGAUGAGGUGGAAGCUGUGGACUCUAAGAUGUGAAGUCAUGCCAGCUGUCCCCAUAAUGUCCCAAGUUUGCUCCCAAAGGCAGACAGGAAGAUCAGAGUUCUAAUCUGAACGUAGGCGUUCGUGUUGCCUCUCUGCACAAAUGUCGAUGAGCAGAAACUAGGCUUGACUCAUCCCUGAUGCUGUGUGCACAUCUGUGGGGGGAAAGUGCGCUCACCUGUGCGUGUUUGCCUGACAGCCAGAGGUCAACAUCAGGUGUCUUCCUCAACCACAGGGUCUCUCGAUGAGCCUGGAUCUCACUGUACCACCAGGUUUGGCUGGCUGGCCAGCAAGCCCCUGAUAUGUUCCAGUCCGCACCACCCAAAGCUGGGGUUUCAGGUACAUGCUUCAGGUACAUACUCAGCUUUUAUUGGGGUGCAGAGGAUCCAAACUCAGGUUCCCACACUUGAGCAUCAAAUUCGUUAGCAUCCACCAAGCCAUCUUCUCAGAUCAAAUUGAAUCUAAGUUGUGCUUUAUUUGGAGAACAUGCAAUCGGAUAAAGCACCCAAUUAGCACCCUACAAGCAAGCUGCCUCCCUUAUCUACAGCCUGGGGCGUCCUAGAGACCAGGACAAAGGUGGUCAAUCAUUCCAGACCUCCUCAGGCUUGCAGCGUCCAUCCGAGGCCAACAUCAAGCACGCCUGUCCUCAGCCACAGAGAAAGAAUGGCUUCUGUCUACACAUUGCCCCAAAAGCCCAUCUUAGUUUUCAGUUCUUUCUCCAUAAUAUUCGGGAGCUCAGUUCUUAUAAGUCAGGGUUUUAUAGGGAAAUGACAGACAGCUUGUGGUCACACAAGGCUCCUUCCCCAGCUAAUCACCAGUAGUGCGGUUUCAGUCAUUCAGCACGUGGUUCUUCUGGUCCUAACUUGCUGCUGUUCUCCAUUGGUAUCCAUUGCUCUGGCAUCUGCUGUGUUCCCUUCCGGAGCAAAGGUCUGGGAGCACAAGAAGCCUGUCUUGUCAUAUCUGUUCUCUGUUUAUGUUACAUGUGUAUGCACCACAUGUGUGUGCACAAUGUGUAUAUUAGAUGUGUAUUUGUGCCGUGUGUGUGUGUGUGUGUGUGUGUGUGCAUGUGUGUAUCUGUGUGUGCUGGUGUACAUGUGCAUGUGUGUAUGUGUGUGGUUGUGUGUUUGUAUUUGUGUGUAUGCAUAUGUGUGUAUAUAUGUAUGUGUGUGUGCAUGUGCAUGCACAUGUGUUUGUGUGUGUGGAAAUGUAUGUAUUGUGUGCUUAUGUGUGCGCAUAUGUGUGCAUGUGUGUGUAGUGUGUAUACAUGCGUGUAUAUGUGUGUGUAAGUGUGUAAUUCACCUGUGGGUACAGGGAGCAUAGGUAUGGUGGGUAUGUGGAAGCCAGAAGACAACCUCAGGUGUUGGUCCUCUAGCACCUCCCACAUUGCCUCUGAGACAGUCUGUCUCUCACUGUCCUGCAGUUUUAAAGGUUGACUAAGCUAGCUGGCCUGAAGCUUCCAGGGUCUGGAAGCUUCCAAUCUUGUCACCAACCCACCAGUCGCUCGCUGCUGGGGUCUCAGGUGCACACAUUGACAAGGAGGGAGUUUAAUUCCAUAGGUGACACAGAACUUGGUUUAUAAUCUCCUGUGAAGAAAACAAGCUCCCUAGACAAUACUCCGUCGGACCACGGUUGUGGGAAAUGGGACUCUGGUCACACGUGCGUGCGUGGACACACCACUUUGGAGAAGACAUUCCAUUAAGUUGCAUAGUUCUUUUGGUGGUGCUGAGGGAGGGAGCUUAGCCUUGUCCAGGGAGCACGAACUAUUAUCAGGACCCAUGUCUGGCCCUCCAGAGGGCAAAGCAUCUUGAUUAUUAUAAUUCUACAGCGGUGUCUGCUGAGUGCUGCUUACAGAAUGCCCACCUCAGACUGGAGGAGUAGGUCCCUGAAUCCUGGCCCUGUCUCACCCAUCUCCUUACAUAGCAGGGUUGGGUGUGCUUUGCCAUUUCCAAGAGCGAAGAGAAGCAUCCUCACCCCUGCUUUCUUCCUUUCUUCUUCCUAUCUUUAACUGAACGUUCUUCUCAGGGCACAGGGAGCUAAGCACUUGGGGACUCGGCCACCCACAUUCCCAGACCUGGGUUAUGUUUUGGAAGAGUACUGUGUCUGGCUUCUGCUGCCUGAAGCCUGAAGGCCUGGCUAAUACUGGGCAGCACUGCCUGGGCAAGUCUGAGCCUGAAGACAUAGGUGCCUCCAGGGAUCCUCUCUGCCUUCUUCUGCCCC